rnacentral:misc_RNA from 1 species
GCGGCACAGUUAUGCCACCAAAUCCAAUCAACACAGGAUUGUCAAAACUCCGGGUGGAAAGCUAAUUUACCAGACCACCAAGAAGAGAGCCAGCGGCCCUAAAUGUCCAGUUACUGGAAAGAGAAUCCAAGGGAUUCCACAUUUGAGACCUGCUGAAUAUAAGAGAUCCAGAUUGCCAAGAAACCGCAGGACUGUGAACCGUGCUUAUGGAGGUGUGCUAUCUGGAAGUGCUGUAAGGGAGAGAAUCAUCCGGGCUUUCUUAGUUGAAGAACAAAAAAUUGUGAAAAAAGUGUUGAAGAUUCAGAAGGCAAAGGAA